AUGUACUAUUAUACUGGCGGCCUAACAGACAAGAGUGAUGUUUUCAGUUUUGGUGUUUUGCUUGUUGAACUCCUAACUAGAAAAAAGUCAUGCAUGUACCGUAGUGGCGGCGACGGUGUUGGUCUUAUUUCACAUUUGAUUUCGCUACUCGCAGAAGGCAAUCUUGAUGAGUUAAUUGAUCCCCAAGUUACGGAAGAGGGAGAUGGAGAAGUCCAGGAAUUAGCUAUGCUAGCAGCAAUGUGCAUAAACUUGAAGGGAGAAGAGCGGCCUACAAUGAGGGAAGUGGAGAUGAAACUUGAAAAUCUGAGAGCUAGCAUGUCUGUGGCACCUGAUGCUGCUGGAACAAGGAGAUACGACAGGGGUCAAACUGGAUCUGUAUGUAUGCCAACUGAAGGAGUUGUUGUGGAAGCAAGCAGGCAAUACACUAUGGAGGAAGAAAUACUCUUGUCUGCAAGGUAUCCGCGAUGA
rnacentral:rRNA from 1 species